AAUCCCGCCAGGGGGAGCUGUGUAUAAAAGAGGGCCAUUCUCACUGGUGCAGCCUCUGCCGCUGAGUCUGGAGUAGACCCCGCCCCUGGGCUUUCUCACUUCCUGGUGUGAGCCGUGCGAGCUGUGCUUACCUGUUGGGCUGCGUUUGGGGAUCAAUUCCCCCUUCAUCUGGGUGUCAACUUGCUGCUAGAUGAGUGGCUGUAGGGAGGUUGCAGACUCCCCACCUCUCCUACUGGGCGUGUCAGUUAAAUGUUUGUUUGCCAGGAGCGGCUAAUCUGCCGUGGAGCCCGCCAGCUGUUUUGUCCUUCUGGGUGGCUUCGAAGUCCA